rnacentral:lncRNA from 1 species
CCAAAAAAGAAAACCCCCGCCAGCGCGAGCUACUCGAUCGUCUCCCCGAAAACGACCGAACGGCACACGGGCACAGCAACGGCUAUCGUGGCCGUGGUUGCAAUCACUCGCGCGCGCACCAGCUCCGAGAGCCUGAGAUUUUCAGUGGACGCCGCCAGCGGCGGCCCGGCGCGAGAUCUCCGCUUGGCUGCUUCAGGCUGAUGGCUUGCGGUUGUUAGCUGCCGCGGUCCCGAGACAUUUGUCGUUGGGCACCGGUACUGCCGCACUGGUCAGUACUCAUAACUAUGCAAAGAGCCAAAGAGGAUCACUUGGGUAUAGUUGUUAACAGAUAUAGGGGUGUUUGGAUACGAGGUGCUAAACUUUAACAGUGUCACAUCGGAUGUUCGGAUGCUAAUUAGGAGAACUAAACAUGAGCUAAUUAUAAAACUAAUUGCAGAACCCUGUGCUAAUUCGCGUGACGAAUCUAUUAAGCCUAAUUAAUCCAUCAUUAGCAAAUGGUUACUGUAGCACCACAUUGUCAAAUCAUGGACUAAUUAGGCUUAAUAGAUUCGUCUCACGAAUUACACUCCAUCUGUGCAAUUAGUUUUGUAAUUAGUCUAUGUUUAAUACUCCUAAUUAGCAUCCAAACAUUCGAUGUGACGGGUGUUAAACUUUAACACCAUGGAGCCAAACAGGCCCAAAAGAAAAAUCACUAGGCGUUCACCUUCCUGGCGGCGGCAACUUGGCUGGCCGCUGGCGGCACCCUUUGCCACGUCUUCGCCGGGUCCUUUGCCGGCGACGAACCCACUAUUUCUCUCUCCCCCCACCCUCCCCGGGUUCACCUCUUCUCUCUCGGUCUUUCUUGGCGGCGCCCUCCGCCACGUCUUCGCCGGGUCCUUCGCCGGCGACGAACCCACCAGGUAUGCCCACCCUUUCUCUUCCCUUCCUCAUGUGCACACACCCCCUGUCCUAUACUGGGUCCGCCCCUGGUGAUUGUUGGGAUUUGGAAUGCGCUGGAAUUGCUCAAAUUAUUUGUGGGGCUGUUAGUGUUCUUUCUCGGCGAUUGUUGGGAGAACAAAAUGGGCACGAGGUGCAUCCUUGUCUGUUUUCUCCUUUCAUGUUUUGGGGGUAAAGGCGGAAUCUUUAUUAGGGCUUAGAGGUUCUGCGAUUAGUUGUUGGUGCGAUUCUUAUUCCUCCUGGAAACAGCAGUUCUUCGAAAUCCUCGUAGGAAUCUUGCUUUGGAAAUAUGUACCUUUUUCUAAGACCUCUUCUUACUUUAGUAUAAGCUUGCAGAAAUAUUUUUUUCUCCAUCAUUUUAUUGGGCUUAGUGACAUGGGGACCUUUGUGUUUUCUAAAUAAAUUGUUGUUUGUUUGAUUGUUUCCUUACCUUUCCAAAGGUUUUGGCAAUUCCUGUGAGGAGUAUUGUUAUAAUCUAAAUUUCUGUGUGGGGUAUUCAGUACAUAGUGCUAGUUUUGCUCCGAUAAAUUAAUUGUUAGACUUAGCUAUGCGUUGCUACCCAUUAGUAUAAGGUAUACUAUUUUUCCCUACAUCUUUGCGAUGCCAAGAAUACUAUAAUACUGUGCUCUGAACAUGAUAAUAUGCUAUUCCCCUUUGUCCUUCAUUCUUUACUGAGAACCCUAGCUUUGUGUUUUUCUUUAUCAUCCACAAUAACCCGUUUGGAGUCGGGGACUAAAGUUUAGUCCUUGUCAUAUCGAAUGUUUAGAUACUAAUUAGGAGUAUUAAAUAUAGGUUAAUUACAAAACCAAUUGCACAAAUGAAGGCUAAUUCGCGAGACGAAUCUAUUAAGCCUAAUUAUUCCAUGAUUUGACCAUGUGAUGCUACAGUAAAUAUGUGCUAAUUACGGAUUAAUUAGGCUUAAUAGAUUCGUCUCGCAAAUUAGCCACGGCUUAUGCAAUUAGUUUUAUAAUUAGUUCACGUUUAGUCCUUCUAAUUGGUAUCCAAACAUCCGAUGUGACCCGAACUAAAAAUUAGUCCAUGGAUUGUACUAAAUAUGAUGGCAAGUUGAUUUUGUACAACGCAAGUGGAUGAUAUUCCCUUCAGGGUCUAUUAGUGAUAUGCUAUAUGCAAUUUGUAAUGUAUGCUAAACAGUAACAGUUAAUUUUCUAUAUUUUUUAGGGUAAUGGGAUAUUUCUGCGGGUAGCUAGACCUAUACAGGAGCAAGUACUCAAAAUUUGCACUUAAAUCUUAAGAAAAUAGUAUUGCACUGAAGAUACCUUUGUGCUAUAUAUUUAGCAGGUAUCAAUCAUGGAAUCGUUAUCAUUUUGCUUAAAAGAUUCAUUAUUUCAAGCCAAUGCCUCUGCUUUUCUUUUCAAAUUAUUCGUUCUUUAAUACUUUGGCCUCCAUUUUUUCUUGCUGAUGUACUCACAAUGGACCAAUGCUGCUUUCAACACUACCCAUUUGACUGCCUUUUAUCUUCAUCGGGCAGU